UAGCGUACGUCUUCGUUUCCUGUAAAAAUGGAGAGAGCACAAUAAAAUGGCAUACGACGAUUUUGACUGUUUCAGUUAGGAAAGCAUGAUUCGAUCAGUCGCGAGGGAUUGAUCUGCUCUUGGUUCCGAUAGGGAAUCGAUCUUCUUCUCCUUUGAGGUGGAGGAUUGGGGAGUGUAAUCCCUUCUACGCUCUAGAAUUUGUGAGAGUCGUGCUGCGCGGCCGCGGCUGGCUUUCAUUUCUCGUUGUUUUCGGGAGGAAAAGGAAUGGCGACUAUCGCGGAGCUGGAGGACAUUUAUCAAAUCACGCUGAUGAAAGUACUCUGUCAAGGAGUUAAACUUCAGUAUUAUCCUCCUGAGGUUACUAAGCAGCUCGAUAAUAAGAAGCAAACCAUGAUCAAGGAGCUCAACUCAUAUAUGUGGCGCUGAGAAAAAACAAGUUUCAAGUUGUUUUAGUAAAUCUUUCUGCUGUAGUUUAUUUAUUUAUUUAUUUGAUGUCAAAUAGCUCGGAGAAUCAAUCAUGAACUAGAACAUGAUUUUAUGACUUCUAGUUGAUCAAUACUUGUGAAAAGUGAAGUUUUUCUAAAUUAGUGCAUAUGGUUUACUAA